AAACCGGGUGAUUUAGAAAGAGAAAAAGAAAGAAAAAAAGCAAGAUCACGUCAUUGCUCUACCCGCCAUUCAGCAGGCUGGAUAUCAGUUUUGAAAGAAAUGGCGCUAUGCUCUACUUCUAGAUGGGAAAGGAGUGAAAUGAAGGGAAACCUCCGCGCGCCGCGGGUGCGAUUCCUCGACACGGCGCGGCGCCGGCGCGUGGGAGCGGCGGGCCCGGGCCCGGGUCAGUGGCUCUUCGAAUUUGGGAUGGCUACCCCUAUUUUACAGGAACAACUGUAAACCUACUUUUGCUCAUCCCUGUAUAUAUACACAUUUAUAAGGUUUUGGGUGGAUGAAAAGCUGCUGUACACGUGGGCUCCACGCGUCUAGCAAGAGAGAAACAAAGGAGACCUAGGUCCCAGACAGGACCCACGGAGGCCGCGCCCCCGCGUUCGUGCGCCCCCUGCUGGUGAGGACCCCGGGCCCCAGUUACCUGGA